CCCUGGGAAAUGAUCUACACAAAAGAAUAAGAAAUGAAAGCUGCCUCUGCCAUCUUCUGUUUAAUUAACACAGGUUCUUGAUGCUAAAGGUCUGACCUUAAAAUGAGCAGUGCACGGGGAAGACAGCCAGAACAGUUACUGGAGUGAGCUCCUGGCUUUCAACCCUUCCAAAUACAGCUAUUUGAGUAGCCAGUGCAGUAUAUCCACGAUGCAAGCUUGUUGCCCAGUUCCUGCUCACAACCAGGGAACGGCUGUAAGUCAAUGGAAAAAAAGAACAACGAGAAGUGCAAUCGCAGCCUCUGCUUGUGGUAUGACAGACUAUGCAGGCUCUGGGACUACCAUGCCAUCCUAUUCUACUCUGCUUUCAGGCUGCAAUUAGAAGUUGCAUUGGGAAGAAGCAACUUCCAUGCAAAGAUGUGGAUGGAACAUGAAUACUAUUCCAGUGUUAGUUUUUGGUGUCGAUUCCCAACUUAUAAAGAGAAGACGACUGCAAACGGCAAUAUCCUGGCAUUCAAGACAARUUCAGAGCGUUGUAAGCUGACGACCCAGUGCCAAAUAUGUAGGUGGUCUUCAGUCCACUUACUAGUGGAUAAGUGUUCUUUUUGUCACAAGUAUCUGCAGUCUUGUCAGUUGACUCAGCAGAAAGGUCUCGGAUUGACUGAACAUCAAGACAACUAUCUUUCUAUUCUGGCAGAUGUGAUGGAUGAAUCUGUUUUGUUGACCUAGGCCUGUCUAAAAGUGCUCCUCCUCAGCCCGUUCCAGGUAUGUGCACAGUAUAAAAACCUGGCCCUCAUCUUUAUAUUGGUAAAGGCAUUAAAUUGGAUAAUUAGACAAAAACUGCUUUCCUCCACAACUUCAGUUAAACAAAAAAUGUACCAGAUGUGAAAUCUAAGUAAUAAGAAAAGCAUUUAUGUUCCAGGAGCAAGAUAUAAUAGUCAACUGUAAAGGAAAAUAAAAUUACUGCAAAGUAAUUAGUGUGUCUGCCU
rnacentral:lncRNA from 1 species